rnacentral:rRNA from 1 species
AGUGAACGCUGGCGGCGUGCCUAAUACAUGCAAGUCGAACGGAGUGGCGCACGGGUGAGUAAUAUAUAGCUAAUCUGCCCCUUGCUGGAGGUCAACAGUUAGAAAUGACUGCUAAUACUCCAUAGCAAGGGAUGAGACUAUAUCGUAUCAGCUAGUCGGUGGGGUAACGGCCUACCGAGGCUAUCAAGCGUAACUGGUCUGGUAGGAUGAUCAGUCACAUUGUAACUGAGACACGGUCCAAACUCCUACGGCAGGCAGCAGUAGGGGAUAUUGCGCAAUGGGGGAAACCCUGACGCAGCAACGCCGCGUGGAGGAUGACAGUUUUCGGAGCAUAGACUCCUUUUGUUAGGCAGGCGGUACCUAACGAAUAAGCACCGGCUAACUCCGUGCCAGCAGCCGCGGUAAUAC